ensembl:lncRNA
CUUCGUCUCCAGCAGCUGGAACAGGCUUCCUGAACAUUUGUUGGGUCCAGGUGAAAACAGUCUUCUUUCAUUUUGAAAUGGCUUCUGCGGACGCGCGUGGAGCAAAGUCUAGAGCUGUAAAGAGGCACCUUGAGGAGAGGAGGUCGCAAAAUUGAGAGGAGUCGCGGGACGCAGAGGACUCCAGAGGAGGCAGGUGAACCCCGAGAGCAGGAGUGAAGCCGGGAAAAACACUGCUGAAGAAUGCUGAUGUGGCAGUGAAACAGCCCAAAAGGAAGAGGAAGCUGAGUAUGGAUUCCAAAGAGCACUGAAUCUGGAAGGCUGCCUGGUAAGAUGCAGAUCCUCAGCCCUUGUAGUUUGUGCUCGCGGGGGUUCACAGUGUGGGGGCAUCGCUCCUGCAAGGGCAGCAGAGGUUCCUUUUUUAGUCACUUGAAACUAGUGGCUUCUGAUUGAAUUUUAGGUAGACUGGAAUAAAAUAUAUGUGUUAUUAAGUCCAGUACUUUAAAAAUUUUUUAUUAAAAUUGAUUUACAGUGUUGUGUCAAUUUCUGCUGUACAGCAAAGUGACUCAGUCUAUGCAAUAGACACACACACACAUUAUUUUUCUCAAAUUAUCUUCCAUCAUGUUCUAUCCCAAGAGAUUGGCUAUAAUUCCCUGUGCUGUUCAAUAGUACCUCAUUGCUUAUCCAUCCUAAAUGUAAUCAUUUGUAUCUACUGACCCCCAAACUCCCUCCUGGUCCACUCCCUCUCGCCCAAUCCAGUACAUUUAAAAAAGUAAUCUUCAUUUUAAAGGUAAAAGGAGGCCUUUUCUUUUACAAAGGUGGAGAUAAUGGAUAAUUUUCAAGUUAGGGACAGAGGUUGUGAACUGUCAGGGUUCUCAAGAGGAACAGAACCAAUAGGAGUAGUUGACAGCUCUGUCCCAAUCUCUGUCCCUACUUGAUGAUGAUGAAUUACAUGUGUAUAUGUAUUUAGGUAGAGAGAGAAUUACUUUAAGGAAUUGACUCAUGCAGUCAUGGGGGCUGACCAGCCUGAAAUCUACAGGAUGGGUUGGCAGGCUGGAGAGCCAGAAAGGACUUGAGUCUUGAGACCAAAGGUCAUCUGGAGGCAGACUCCCUGUCCUUUGGGGGAAGUUCAUUGGAUGGACCUCAUGAUGGAGAAUAACCUGCUUUUCUCAGAUUUUACUCAUUAAACGUUACUUACAUCUAAGAAAUACUGCACAGUAACAUCUUGACAGCUGGAGGGUAUACAAUGCAUCAUGCCUCUAGGUACCUGGCCUUUUUCCUUAUGACUUUUCCUUGUAUUCCUACACAUGUCAAGGUGGGCAGAAUGACUUGGAGACCUCCAUGGUGAUGGUUAUGGGGAUGGGAGGCCAUUAGAGUGUUCUCAUGGGCUCCCGUCAUUUAUUUGGGUGUGGAUUUUGGGAUCUUCAUGUGAAUUUGGUUAUGCAUUCACACAUUACACAGUUGGUGAAGUGCCGCAGUGUCACAUUAGUUUGUUGCCAGGAUGCUGUGGUUUGAUGGCCUCUAGGCAUUAAGUGGACAAUGACCAGCGAUGAUAUAGUCUGAGGUAGGUUUUGAGGUGUUCAGUAUAGAUCUAUGUCAGGUUGCCCAACUGCUUCCUCAGCAUCAGCCCUGCUGGGAAUUGGGUGGUUAAAGUGGGGCUGAGGGCCUGUUCCCCCUUAGGUCCAGACUGGUUCAUCUCCUAGACCAGUGUUGAGGAUGCUAACUGUAUCCCAGAGGAUUGCUGUCUAAGCAGCUGCAUGGACCAGACUUGGGAAGGCCUGGACCUGUCUGGAGUAUGUGAGGAUGUCAUUCUUCCCAGCAUUUUCGGGUUUGCUGUGUCGUGUCCUCUGAGGGGAUAGGAUGUUCCUUUGAUGAGGAUAGGGUAUUUGACAGGUUCAGAGUUAUUCUUGCAGAGGGGCUCUUUCAUUGUGAUCUCUGGACCAGCAGUGUCAGGAUCCCCUGGGAGUUUGUUAGAAAUGCAGAUUCUUUGGUCCCACUCCAGACCUGCUGAGUCAGAUGCUCUGGGGGUUGGGGUUGUGGAGUGGGGACUCUGCAUUUUACCGAACCCUCCAGGGUAUUCUGACACACAUUCAUGUUUGAGGACCAUUGUCCCAGGGAAAAAGCUAGACACAUCUUAUCUACUAAUAUAUUGUAGUUAAUCAAUGUUAUCUGCUGCACAUUUAAAAAUAGUUUAGUGUCAUUUGAGGCCACUUCUCCUAUCCAAAUAUAUUUUCUACCUUUUCUCAGUAUCAUUUCCCUUUAAGCUGCUAAAAUUUCUGUUCCCCCAUCUUAGUACUUGUUAUCUUGCCCUACAACAUGAAUAUUUUACCUUUUGUCUUGUCUGUAUUGGCACAAAUCCCAGUUUUCUCCUCUAGCCCAACUGGGUUUCCAACUUAAUGCCGGUGCUUUUACCAUUAUUUCCAUCCCACACUGGGCUUGUCUCUUUUGUGAACCCCAGGGGUGCUCAGCACUUACUGCACAGGUGCUGUUUGAGCUUGGUGCCCUGCAUGGUUGGGUUUUUGAAAACAUCUCUUGAAUGAUGUUCCUGGUAUUUAAUAACAUGUCCAUGCAAAUGAGCUUGUUUGAUCAAUAGUAAGAAAGUGAUAUUUCAAAAGGCUCUCUUACUCACCUAAGGUCUGAAGUGUUUAGAACAUUUAAUUGUUUUAAAGGCUGUUCACAGAAGGUGGUUGGAAAUGUGUGCACGCAGGAUGAGUUCCACAUUGCACGUCCGUUUGAAGCUCAUUGCUGGUUACAGUGUCCCUUUUCAUUAGUUAAGUUUGAUGGUUUAACACACUUAGCAGGAUCACACCUGUGGCUGCCUUCACUGUGGAAAGAGGUUCAGUCUCUAAAAUCAUGUUUGAAUUUUGCUGGAAAUAUAAGUGACAUCCUUUCCUUUCUAUAUUACCCUUCUGCUUUUAAUGUCACAUUUCCAGCCAGCCAAGCAAAAUAGCAUUGGCAGAUUAAGCACAUAAAACAUCAAACUAGUGAACAAUUGAGUGCUUUCUAAACAUCUGCUUCUGAGAUUGUAAUUUCUUGGCUAUGUCAUAAUUAUUAGAAGCUGAUAUUAAUAUGUGUCAAUGAACAUCAUUCUAGACUAUUAUUUUCUAUGUAUUGCCUUGUAGAAUUUUUGAAAUAUUCAUUUAUAUUUUUCAAUAUACAGAAACCUGGUUAAGAAAGAUCAGUAUUAACAUAAGAAGUAAAUUCUCUACUGUACCCACAUAUACAUAUGCUAAACCCCUAAUCUUUUCAGAAAGGUAUGACCACUGUUUAUAUUUUCUUUUAUAUCUGUAUAGGAAUCAACAAACAAAACAAAACAAAAGAAAGAAAGCUAAAAAACUCAAAUCCUGUAUGCAUGUGUACAGAUAUACAUAAUACAUACACAUAGCCCACAUGGGCUCAGACCCUAGCUCUCGUUCUAUACGUUGCAUUUUUACACUUAAGCAUGCAUAUGUUGGAGAUGCACAUCUUCUCCUUGUUUUCAGUACUGCAUAGUGUUCCACUCUGUGAAUUUAACUUAUUUCAACCAUGCUCUACUGUAAACAUUCAGGGGUUUUUAUUUUUUGUCAUUACAGACCAAGUUCCAACCAAUAUUUGUGUAUCUUGUUAUGCUUUUACAUUUGAUUCACAGAUAAAAUCACAGUAGAAUCCUUGUGCUAAAGAGUUUGUGCUGGAGUUCCUGUUGUGGCUCAGCCAAUUACGAACACAACCAGUAUCCAUGAGGAUGUGGGUUUGAUCCCUGGCCUCACUCAGUGGUCAAGGAUGCAGCAUUGCUAUGAUUUGUGGUGUAGGUUGCAGAUGUGGCUCAGAUCUGGCAUUGCUAUGGCUGUGGUGUAGGCCGAUUUGACCCCUAGCCUGGGAACUUCCAUAUGCUGUGGGAGCAGCUCUAAAAAAAAAAAAAAAAAAA